rnacentral:misc_RNA from 1 species
CUUCUGGGUAGCAAAUCGUGAAUCAGCUGGUGCAUUAGGCCGGUAAAUAACCGGAUUCAACACUGGCUCGGCCGCAUUCUCCCAUCCAGCCGUCCCGGCUGCUGCACCAUUGAUGAUGAGAACGUCAGCCCCGCUAGGAAGCAGCACCAUGUCUCCCAUCACCCUCGCCAACGGCAUUGUCUCCAUCUCCCAUGCGGGGGAUGGGUCCGUGAUCUUCAGCCUCCCGCAGGUAGCCAGCGCUCGGGCGAAAGUCUUGCUCUGUGAGGCUUGCACGAAUGAGCCUGUCGGAGCUCCACCGCAGACGAGUACUUCAGCUUCUAGAGCGUUUGGCUUCAGGGGGAGGAGAACGGAUGAGCCGGAGCUCGGGUAGUUACGCGGGUCGCCGCCCGGGAUGGCUGGAUAGGUCCUGACUAUUGAAUUCUUCGCAUAGUUGAAGAGAAUUGCUCGGUUAUUCGAGAAGAUGAAGAGGUUGCCGUCGAUGUUGAGGUGGACGAAUGGGUAGAGGUUGUUCUCUUCGUUGUCAUGG